GAGAGAGGAAAAGCGGAGGUUGGAUCCUUAUUUAAGCAAGAGAAAAACUCCCUGGUCCUUACCUGUUGCUCCUGGUACUUACCUGGCCUGGUAACAGCAGCACUAUCAACGGCAGGUGCCACAGGAGAUCCUAGGCUGGAUUGGGACCACAAUACAUGGACUUAAAGCCCACCCACCCCUGCCCAGCACCAAUGAAAAUCAUCCCCCUGAUGAAAGGUGGACUUCGAAGAAACAAGAUUUUAAAAAGUAUUGACACUUUGAACUUUGAUGCUGGAGAAGACUUUUGAGGAUACCAUGGACAGCCAGGAAAACAAACAAAUGGGUCAUAGAAAAAAUCAGUCCAGAAUUUCCACUUGAGGCACAAAUGACUAGGCUCAAACUAUCAUACUUUGGACACAUUAUGUGAAGAUCCAGCUCCCUUGAGA